CGCGGAUGUGCGGCGAUGAAGGCAGCGCUGUGCUUUGGGACGCGGUCUCUCCACCUAAUUCGAGGUACAUGGGAACCCGUGCACUUGCAACCCCCGGAGCAGCACAUUGAAAUGUAAUUUACUUCCGCAGCAGAAUGGCAAAUAUGUAAACACAAGAAUGAGGACCAAGUACUUUCCAUGAAGCUUGGCCCCCACUGCAGAACAGGUUGUCAGCUUUAGUACAAUGUGGAAAGACAACUUGCUGUCCGCGGACUGAGUCUGGUGCAUGGCUCAUAGUAAGUCCAUGGAAGCCACUCUAUUUACACUGGAAAUCCUGAUGGUAACAGCAAGUUCUAGAAAAAAAUCAUCGCAAUCUGCAGAAAAUGUGGGAAGUCUCCUAGAGGCCCCUUAGUCUAAACCCCACCCCCUAACUUUGGAAUCACUAUUUCUUCAUUAAGACUGUCAGCUUUAAUGCAACCCCUCCCAACAUUUUCAAAUUAUCUGAGAAAUUAUUUCUCAUUAUUUAAAAUAUGUGAAAAAUUAUCAUUAGAAUGCUAACAAUUCAUACUGUCACUUACCAGAUGUGAAGCACAGAAAAUAAAACCGUGCAUCGGUUUCAUCUCUGCAUCUUGCCUGUCUUUCCUAAUUUAAACAUUCUGCUUGUUGGCAGAGAGAGAAUAACGUCUCUGCCUUUUUCUCAGAAAUCACUGUUUCACCUAAGAGAAUAAAAUACAUUUACAGCAUCUGACUUCAUUUUUGUUUUAAGCAAAUGUCAGAUCUGAAAACCCAAAGACAGCAGAAUGAGGUAGAUGCAAAUAUUUUGAUGUCAAAUACACUAAAAUCUGACUGUGCAUGUAAAACAGGCUAGCAGUUCCAUGUGAUAACCAUUAAACACUUUUUUUUCUAUAAAGAGGCUGUUUCGACCUUUUGCGGUCAGUUUAGUUUUUGAUAAUGGCCUAGAGGCGCGAUUAUCUCAUAAUAUCUUAUUCUUGCCUUUUCCCUUGUGCUUAAUUGUGUGAAAAAAUUUGUAUUAGGAGCUUUGAACAGUGACAACAAGAGAACUUCUGUAUCUUGCUUCCUUGGUUUACAUAGUAUUGAUCUUUUCUGACACUAUUCAGCUGAAAAUAUUCCCACAUUUCCAUGAGUUAGAAGCUUGAAGAAUGGCCUCUUUAUCAGGUAUUUUAUUCAGCAAGGAAGUUCAUUAGCAAAGUUUACUGGCAUUUCUCUUACCUCUACACAAUGUACUUUCAGUUGGAAAGAUGCUAUUCAAGUUCUAAUCAUACCUAUUGGCUAGAAAGAUAACCAAAAUUUUUAGCCAUGGAAGUACUUUAUAAAACAAGAAGAGACUCACUGAACAAAAAUAAUAACUUAAGUUUCUAGCAAAAAUAUAUUAGUAUUUCUGCCUCUGGAAAGGAAAUAAGAAUUCUGGCUUGCCCUCCUCUUCUCCAAAGAUUUUAUUUAUUAUUACUGUUCUAUUCUAGAGGCUCUAAUUUUAGCUAACGUACACAAAGAAUAAAACACAAAGGAUAUUUCAACAACAGACAGGCUGUAAGUGGCAUUUAGUCUAUUUUCAGCACGAAUUUAAAAUAGCCUUUUCAUUUUAUGUAAAUUGUGGUAUAAAUGAAUCAAAUAACAUUUUUAUUACAUUGGUAUGUCAAAAUUUUGAUCAAGACAGUUUUAUUGCAUUGGAUGUAUUGUAAAAAUAAAAAAUAAAAAAGGCUGAUAUAUUGUCAGUUUCCAAACCUACUGGUUAUUCAAUGCAGAUGGAUACUGUCAUCCAUCAGCAAAGAUUGAUGGUCGCAUCAAGAUUUUACUUGCCUCGUUUUCCUUCAUAUUUGAAAAUGGAAAUGAAACAUUAAUAACAAUUGUGCAUUGUGGUGAACCCAACAUGAUAUUUUUAAACAAAUGUUUCUCAAAAAUCUCUCAGCUGAUAAAAGCAUCAGGCCAGUGACUCUGAGAUUCAAUUCAUGCAUCCCACAAAGAGAGAUUUCAGUGAUUACAGCACCACUCUUCAAGAUUUGAGCAACUGAGUUCAGAUUGACAUGGGCUCCUUAAACUCAAUAGUAAAUCCAUGAAAUAACUAAGGCACCCAGCUGCCACUUAGCUAACUUCAAAAUGCAGACAUUCAUAUAGUCUUUUCCAUGACUAAUGAAAGUGGAAAUGCCCUAAUGUAAACAGAUCCAACAACUUUUACUAGCGUUGUUAACCAGGUGCCUGCAGGUUUUUUUCUGCACAUAUGUAGAACCUGCUAAUCUCUUGCAAUGCAAAGCUAAGGCUCUUGUUCACCGCCAAAUGAAGUAUGGGACAAAGCUAAUAAGUGUCAAAUUUAAUAGUAUCUGAUUCUUAAGUAUAGUUGUAACAAUUGUCCCUACUUCACCCAGUCCUUCUCUCCUUAAAUAUUUUCCCAUUUCCUAGUCACGCUCCCACGGCAACUCAAGUUUCUGCAAAUUCUGCUAAUGACCAGACCUGUAUCUCUCCUGGAUGAUGCUCCAGGAUCCAUCUCAAAAUUAAGCUGUACUUAGAUCCACCAGUAAUGUGGGCUUUCCCAAGACACCCAGAUUUGCAAGCAGGCUCAGUGCCCAGCUAAGUUUCUCCAGACUAAAGUUAAUCUGAAGCUACAAGCCUCGCAAAUUCAUAGCUAGAGAGUGAUUUACUCAGGGCCCUGAGACAGUUUAGAAAGCUGAUGUACUCACAGUAAACUCGCUGACACAGGGAUUACACCUGCAACAAUGUUUUAAGCAAGUAUCAAGGAUUAGGCAGAAGAGGUAACUGGAAGUAAUUUUUAGGCUAUCCAUGCAUUGCAACUAUGUGACUUUGUCUCAAGAUGAAUCAGCUUGGUUUAGAUCUGCUGAAGGUAAUUUGAGUGCAGGGCUCAGAAACUCUCAGGUAUACCAGGCCAACUUCUUUCCACACGCUUACAGGUGCUGUGCUGGUAGCAACUCAGUAUGAGCCAAAACAAAAUGAGAGAGAAAUCUGUGAUUAUCAGCAAUAUAUUCAUGCAAAGCAGAGCCCUUCGUUGAAUUCAGAACUCCAUGAGAACGAAGACAUUGCUGUUCCUACCUGUUAGCUUCACUGGGCAACAUUCAAAGUCUCUGUAAUACAAAUUACUAAUUCCCAGUUUAUGCUAAUCUGCUUGCAUUUACCAUAAAACCUCUUAGUAGCAUCCCCAGCCAGGCAGCGCACCUCAGCUGAGGUGGAACAAGGACUGUGUCUGGCAUCCAGACUGUGAGCUAACUCACCAGAGGAGUGCCCUGGUUCCAGCACACUGCCCUGCAGCCCAGGUAUGCCAGAGCUGUGGCAAUGAAGGUAACAUAGACCUUGCAGUUUCUUCUAAGUAUAUUUGAAUCAGCACAGCAUACAGAAGUAAAAUUAAGGAAGUACACUAGCUCCUCAUUUUCAAGUAAAUUUAUACAGCUCUUCGGUUUCUGAACUAAGAUGACAAACAGGAUAUUUUGUAUUGUGAUCUUUCACACCCACACUUGUGACCAUCCUCAGUCAUGUCCUCACUCUGCUCAUUCCCAGGUGGGUUUUCCCAGCCUGACUUUCUCACACACUCAAGGUUCAUUAUUCUGCGUGUCUUGUUCGGAACAACUGGGUUUUUAAUCGUGUUUAUUCUGAUAUGCUUUAUCUUAGUCCUAAUUAAUCUUCCAUAUACUUGGCGUUGCUCCCACACAGCCACAUGCUGUGACACCGGGAGGGGGGGGGGGGGGGAGGGAUCAGCAAGGGCCGUGGGCUUUACUUCCCUAUCCUUGCAGACAGAUCCUAAGCCUCCUAAAGCAGGCUUAGAUAGAAGUUUAGACAGAGAUUAGCAGUAUUUAGCUCCUCAAAACCGCUACGCAGCUGCCACUUCACACCGAAGGUGCUUUUGUUUCUCCUGCUUGGAGACACCCAGUCCCCUACAAGUUUGGCCUGGGCAGGGACAGACAGCCCUGCUCCUGGCCCCUGGCUAACCACCACAUGCAGGGCAACCAAGCAACUGGGGUGCUUCUCGCAGGGCCAGGAGUGAGGGCAGAAGCAGGAGAAGGAGCAGGAGCGAGGGCAAAGGCAGGGGAAGGAGCAGAGGCAGGAGCAAGGGCAGAGGCAGGAAGACACCCGGCCCCCUACAAGUUUGGGCUGGGCAGGGACCCUUGGCUGACCGCCACACGCAGCGCAACCAAGCAGCUGGGGUGCUUCUCGCAGGGGCAGAGGCGAGGGCAGAGGCAAGGCCUAGGUCAGGGAAAGGGACAAGGAACCACCUCCUCCCCCCCACAGCCCCUACUCAUCACCCCAGUGCUUUUGCACCGCCUCUUGCCCCCGCGGGGAGUCACGUGCCCCAGUUCCACCAAUGGCGGGCAGCACCGUCCCCGCGGUUCCCCGUCGGCGGGUCUCGCGCGAGCGGCGCGCGGCCGUACUUAAGACAGCGCGGGCGGCCUUUCUUUCUUUCUCGGUGCCGCGCGCCGUCGCGGGUGGGGAACCCGCUGAGCCCUCUUGAAGGCUUCGUCCGCCGUGGCAGGCGAGAGGCCAUGACCGUGAGAAUGGCGGGCAAUGUCGAGUCUGGCCUUUGGAUGCCUAUAGAGGUCCCACUUAGCAACUUCAUGUUUGAAAUAUUCUAGACAUGGAUGAUCGGACCUAAAUUAGAAGCAAUGCUCAAGACUUCUUAGGAAUUAAUAAUACCUUCUGCUAGAAGGUUUCUCGAGUGUGUCGGUGCUCUGUAAACCUGUGAUAAAUGUCUUGAAUGAAGAGUUCCUUGUUAGAUCUGUUGAUCUCCAGAGGAGAAACCAGAACAUACAAGAGAUUUGAACUGAUAUUAAAAUUCAACUUAUGGUUUGAGUGGCCAGUUCCUGAGCUGAUACUAGAUGACUCCAGUGUCACCUGUAAUGUAGUGCCUUGAAAGUGGAAUUGAGACAAGCAGUGGCUGAAACUACAUACCUUCAAUGAUUGUAUUUAAACAGGAACAAGUUUCUUAACAAAAGCUGCUACAAUUUAUUUCUAUGUCUGUGGAUUAAUUGAAAUAAAAUAUGCCAAUGCAACUAGAAGUUUGUGUCUUCCUAAGGUUUCUUAUUUAGGUAUGGCCUUCCUUUAUGAAGGCUUUGUUUAGUGAAUGUGGACACUUAUGUUGUCAUGCAGAAAUGUUCUCUUGUCAUGUGCAGACUUAAUAAACUUAAUAUUUAACUUGAAAAUCCUUUAAAAAUGGCCUUCUUAAUGUGCAUCUUUUAUUCUGAGUGGUCAUGGAUUUCUGAAUUAUUUUAGAGUGCAAGAGUACUUUGUAAUCAACUGGAUAACUUCUAUUUAUUUCAUUAGGCUGUAUGCUUUAUUUGCAUGUUCUGCAACUAGUCAAAAGAUCGUCUUCAACUUUAAAAUUGCUAUUACAUCCUUAGAAUCCCACUACCUCCUGCCUCUUUCAAAUGAACAAAAGGAAAAUGUUGCAAUAUGCCAUGUAAAGGACAACAAUUGUGAAGAUCCUUGAAGAGCAGGACCAAUAUUGUUGAACAACUGAAAGCUUGGAUGUGCUUUUCAUUUGUGUCCAAAUGUUAAAACCUUAUCAGUGGUAGGUCUUAACGUGAAGUGAUAUAUGUGCAAGCCAAUGCUUCCUUAGAAUGCACCAUCAAGAGUAUAAAAUAGAGUUAGAAGUAGCUGUAAGGCGCUCCCCACUGCCUACCCAGGAAAGAGAUUUAGUGUGGAUUUAGGACUGAACUCUUACAUAUCCUUGGUCAGAUUUAACCCCCACUUAGUCAGGAAGCACUUCUGGUUAUAUUUGCUUAAGGGUGUGAGUAGUGGUCUGUUACACUUGUAGCAUGCUAAACUAAAGUAUUUUUCCUCUGUACUUUCCUCUGAUUUUUAAUAAAAGAUUAAACUGAAGGGCAUACAAAUGUACUUCAUAUCAAAGUUGUCUGACAACUGUUUAGUUCCUGUCAUGAGUAAUAAUGAAUCAUUUUCCUGCAAGCCUUGUCAGCUUUGCAGACCUGUCCUCUGCAGUCAUGCUCAAGGGUUAAGUUCUAAUCUAUUCAGUCUUGCCUUAUGUAAGAGUGAUUUCAUAUCUGAUCCGUGGUGCCCUGUGUAGGUUUUGUUAAUCUCCUCUUUGGUUCAAUACCAAUUGAUGGCAUUCAGCGUAGACAGAUUUUUGAAAUAUUGCCUCCUGUUUUCCUUACCUAGUAAGCUUGUUUACGUUUCAUAGCUUGGGAUAAUGUUUUCAGUGAGCUGUUAAAACUUCCAGAACUUUGUGAAGGGAGUAGAAAUCGUCUUAGAAUUAGGGCUGCAGUUUUCCUUCCCAGAUUCAUUAGACAUACAGUAAAUGGUGUUGAAUUCUGCCUGCUGCUCUGUCUGUAAAGAUCUUGUCAGAAUCAAGAUCUUCUGGAGUCUGAAGCUGUGGUUAGCUUUGAGUGUUCUGAGGGUUUUUUUUUUCACAUCAAUUGAUGCUGAAAAUGAGCUAUGAAAUCUUCACUUACGUAAACUUUGUUCCAUUCCUUUCUGAAAUAAUGGCUUAAGAGUAUACUAAAUGUCCCUUCUCUUUCAUGGUAACUAUGAUGCCCUUGAAGACCUGUCUUCAUCUGAAGACUUCUCAAAAAUAAAGUGUGUUCCUUGAGUCAUGCUCUGUGCUUUGGUGCUGACUCCUUCAGAGACUUGUUUGUUUCUUUUUUUUGAGGUAUUGCUACCCUUCGACUUCAUGCUGUGCAGCUGGUGAUAAAAAGUGCCGUUAAAUCCUAAUGACCUAGGGUUUACAAAUCUGUUCUACAAUGUUCCAUGCAAGUCCUUGUUCCUUCACCCGUAGUUUACAGAAACUUUGGGGAAGUAAUCUCCAUCACAGACGAAUCAUUCAUUUGGUUUUUUUGUUGUAGCCUUCAAAUUCUCAAAGGCUCUGUUCAUGCUUGUUCGUUUCUUGGGCUUUCAAAGUCUGCAGACUACCUGCUUCUGAUCAAUUUGAAGAGAUUUUAAUAUUCUUUUAUUGUAUUGCUCCUUAAGCAUUUCUGCUGCUUCAGAUUUAAGUCAGGUUAUUCGUUUUUACUUUUCUUUGUUUUGGCAUGGCUUGCAGUUACUGAAAGAUACAGCUUUGAUAUGAAGCACAUUCACAGUUUAAAAGUGUGAUCAUUUUCGUGUGUUUUGAUUUGUCCAUGAGACUGAUUAAAACUUGUCUUUUUAAGCAACAUUUUAUCUGUUUGGCUAUACUGCACCCUUUGCAUUGCUCAUUGCUCAUUUCCUUUUCAUUUCUUAAAGGGAGAAAUUUAACGUUUCAAGAAGUUCAAAAUAGAAAUCUUUUAGCAUAUUCUUACUGUUGCUGACAGCUGAAGUGUUGUUUUCUAUCAGUCUUUAUGUUGCAGAAGAUAGGCUUUUUCACAUUAGUGGCUUACACACUUACACUACAUACUGACAGUAUUUUACAAAACUAUUCCAAUAAAAUUGCAGUAUUGAUGGAAUCCUAAUUUACUCUAGUUGUUAAUGAACUACCCAUGUAUUAGGGCAACAAGGGUGGUGAAGGGUCUGGAGAACAAGUCUUAUGAGGAAUGGCUGAGGGAACUAGGUUUGUUCAGUCCAGAGAAAAAGAGGCUAACACAUGGGGACACAUCAUCAUACUCUACAACUACCCAAAAGGAGAUUGUAGUGAGGCUGGUGUUUGUCUCUUCUCCCAAAUAACAAGUAAUAGGGUGAAAGGAAUUGGCCUCAACUUAUGUCAAGGGAAGUUUAGACUGGAUAUUAGGAAAAAUUUCUUUACUG